AAUAGAUACCCGGGUAGUCCACGCCGUAAACGGUGGGCACUAGGUGUGGGCAGCAUUCCACGUUGUCCGUGCCGUAGCUAACGCAUUAAGUGCCCCGCCUGGGGAGUACGGCCGCAAGGCUAAAACUCAAAGGAAUUGACGGGGGGCCCGCACAAGCGGCGGAGCAUGUGGCUUAAUUCGACGCAACGCGAAGAACCUUACCAAGGCUUGACAUACACCGGAAACAUCCAGAGAUGGGUGCCCCCUUGUGGUCGGUGUACAGGUGGUGCAUGGCUGUCGUCAGCUCGUGUCGUGAGAUGUUGGGUUAAGUCCCGCAACGAGCGCAACCCUUGUCCCGUGUUGCAGCAGGCCCUUGUGGUGCUGGGGACUCACGGGAGACCGCCGGGGUCAACUCGGAGGAAGGUGGGGACGAUGUCAAGUCAUCAUGCCCCUUAUGUCUUGGGCUGCACACGUGCUACAAUGGCCGGUACAAAGAGCUGCGAUACCGUGAGGUGGAGCGAAUCUCAAAAAGCCGGUCUCAGUUCGGAUUGGGGU
rnacentral:rRNA from 1 species